UAGUGGCGAACGGGUGAGUAACACGUGAGAAUUUGCCUUUAGAAAGAGGAUAACUUAUAGAAAUAGAAGCUAAUACUCUAUAUGCCGUUUGGUGAAAGAAGAAAUUCGUCUAAAGAGAAGCUCGCGCCUGAUUAGCUAGUUGGUGGGGUAAAGGCCUACCAAGGCGACGAUCAGUAGCUGGUUUGAGAGGAUGAUCAGCCACAUUGGAACUGAGACACGGUCCAGACUCCUACGGGAGGCAGCAGUGAGGAAUUUUCUGCAAUGGGCGAAAGCCUGACAGAGCAAUACCGCGUGAGGGAUGAAGGCCUAUGGGUUGUAAACCUCUUUUCUCAAGGAGGAAGAUAUGACGUUACUUGAGGAAUAAGCAUCGGCUAACCCUGUGCCAGCAGCCGCGGUAAUACAGGGGAUGCAAGUGUUAUCCGGAAUUAUUGGGCGUAAAGCGUCUGCAGGUGGACUUUUAAGUCUUUUGUUAAAACUCUGGGCUUAACCUAGAAUCUGCAAAGGAAACUAUUUGUCUUGAGUAUGGUAGAGGUAAAGGGAAUUUCCAGUGGAGCGGUGAAAUGCCUAGAUAUUGGAAAGAACACCAACAGCGAAGGCACUUUACUGGGCCAGUACUGACACUGAGAGACGAAAGCUAGGGGAGCAAACGGGAUUAGAUACCCCGGUAGUCCUAGCUGUAAACGAUGGAUACUAGAUGUUG
rnacentral:rRNA from 1 species